UAGAGUUUAUAAGACUGAGACGGUCAACAAAAGGUUUAAACAGGACCUUCACAAUCCUCACACACCAGCACUGACUAGAAAUGGCAUCAGAAAUAGCAGUGGUCAGAGACAUGUAUGAAGGGCUGGUUAUUGAAGAAGGACAAGAUGAAGAAAAAGCAAGAAAGCAACACAGAGAACGACAGCUGAACGAAAACCCAGAUAUUCUCUUCAGAGUUUAUAAAGAAGAUGAAGAAAUUCCGCAUGUUCUGCUCUUCAGACCCACAAAUGACAGCUGGUGGAUAGAAAGACUUAAAUAUCGAUAUCCUGGCAUCUUUGCUCAGUGGACUUUUCAACAUGCUGAUGACCAGCCAAUUCGGCAUAAUAUGAAUCUCUCUGGUAAACAGGAUUUGUUGCAAAGAUUCUGUGAUGAGUUUCCAAACAAUCGUUUGACGUCACUUGACAAUGUCGAAGAAGUUGAAGAGCUGAGAGCAACAAUAGAAGAGCAGAGAGCAACAAUAGAAGAUCUGAGAGCAACAAUACAAGAUCUGGAAGCAAGAAUGGAAGAUCUUCAAUUAGAAAACAGAAGACGUAGACGACAAUGAUAAUUCAAAAAUGGCUGCCAUAAACAUGAGAGACCAUGUUUCACCUGACGGGAGCCCAUGAAGACCUCAAGAUCUGCAUCUUUUGAACAGAUUUAAAGAAAAAAAUAUGAAUUUCUUUUUCUCUGUCAUAUUCAAGCUGUGAUUAAAUCUGUCACACUUUAUACUCUAGUCUAUAUUUCUGUAUAAACAUUAACCUUUUUAAAUCAUGACUACAACCAAUCUAAUGGUUACUACACUGUUAACACACACUGUUAAACUUAAUGGCAGAUGCCAGUGGCAGGACAUGAUGUCACACUGUAUGGGGUAAGUUGUCACAAUGGAACCUGCCAUUCACACACUGUAACAUAAUCAGUCAUUUUUGUCUUAGUUUCAUUUUCAUGGAUUUUUAGUUUGUUUCAAUUCAGUUACUUUUUCCUUUCCCUCCAGUCUUUAUUUGUCAUAGUAACUGAUAUGAUUAGUCUUUCUGUUCAGCUGUGUGUCAUUAAUUAUCCUUGUGUGCCUUAGUAUUUAUCUGCCGGUGUUUUUAAUUCUCAUUGUUGGUUGUCAUUAACUCUUGCACUAAGUUUGGUUACGGUUUUAAUUCUUUUAAUAAAGUUAAUUGUGUAUUCUU